AUCCUGGUGACGAUGUCACAGACAGCUCGCCCAGCACACGGGUGGGAGAAGGGCACACUACACAGGUCAAGACACACUCACCACAAAGUGACAGAGUGACAGGACCAAGGUCUUCAAGAUUUACAGAAUAAUUUUUAUCAGCUAUAAGACAUAAAAGGAAACAUCAUUUUAAAGGUCACGAUCUCAUGGUCCAGUUCGUGAAAUGGAGCCCCGAGUCAAGCUGGGCUCUAUGCUGACAGCAGGAAGCCUGUUUGGGAUUCUCUCUCCCUCUCUCUCUGCCCACCUACCCCC